rnacentral:ncRNA from 1 species
GGUCGGGCGUGUGGUGAAUACAAUAUCUGUAUGGAGAAUAGCCACCCCUUACAUCUGCGGUUUUGAGCGCCCGGCCACCAUCCA